GGGGACGACCGGUUUUGACUGCAAGGUCAAUUGAUGUAUAAGCAUGUCGAGCUAAGAUGCUCUACUCGUAAAAUGGGUAUCAAAAAUUAAACGGCGAGAAUAACUACGCUUUAGCUGCUUAAUCUGAAUAAAGUAAGAUUAACCUAGUUCCGACAAGGUCGGGAAGCUAAAUGUCUCUUGAAAGCGAUGACUAACCGCGUUCAAUAAAGGGGCAUCGUAAAAGUUGGUAUAGGAAUAAAGAAGUCUCGGCUUUUUUCUGAAAUUAAGAGAAUAGGUUUACAGUGGGCUGUUUUUGGUCAGCUGUAAAUAGAAAAUCAAUCAAAAAAUAAACAUGUAGAAAGUACUUUGGUUGCUUGUUUGGACGAGGGUUCGAAUCCCUCCGUCUCCACUU
rnacentral:tmRNA from 1 species